rnacentral:tRNA from 1 species
GCACCCGUAGCUCAGCUGGAUAGAGCAUCAGUUUGCGGUACUGAGGGCCAUAGGUUCGACUCCUAUCGGGUGCACCA